rnacentral:rRNA from 1 species
GACGAACCGUGCGAACGUUGUUCGGAAUCACUGGGCUUAAAGGGCGCGUAGGCGGGCAAGCAAGUCAGGGGUGAAAGCCCACGGCUCAACCGUGGAAGUGCCUUUGAUACUGCUGGUCUUGAGGGAGGUAGGGGCGUGCGGAACUUCCGGUGGAGCGGUGAAAUGCGUAGAUAUCGGAAGGAACACCGGUGGCGAAAGCGGCGCGCUGGAUCUCUUCUGACGCUGAGGCGCGAAAGCCAGGGGAGCAACGGGG